rnacentral:lncRNA from 1 species
GAUUAUGCUUUCUUUUGUUAUCUGUUGUUCAAUGCUCUAACAUUUGAAUUUUUGCAGGAUGGAGUAUCAUUUAGAUGGGGAGUUGAGACGGAUGACGGGGAAGGCUACUUGGAACAGUAGCUUUGAGAGUUUUACUACUGUGUUGGAGCUGCUCGAUGAUCAACACAAAGAUAUGCUACGAUAGUCUUUCUUAUGGCCACUGUACCAGUUGCGAGAGGUGCAGUACUC